rnacentral:rRNA from 1 species
AGAGCGCAGGGUGAAUGCCUUGGCACCAGGAGCCGAAGAAGGACGUGGCAAGCUGCGAAAAGCUGCGGAGAGGCGCAAACAGCCAUCGACCCGCAGAUAUCCGAAUGGGGCAACCCACCUGAGGUAAAUGCUCAGGUACGUAUACGUGAAUAAAUAGCGUAUACGAGGUAAACGCAGGGAACUGAAACAUCUAAGUACCUGCAGGAAAAGAAAUCAACAGAGAUUCCGUCAGUAGUGGCGAGCGAACGCGGAAGAGGCCAAACCGGCCCAGAGAACAGAGAACAGAAACCAGAGAACAGAGUAUGGAAUCAGCGAAGGAUACUUCAAAGACAAACUACAAACUGUUAUCUGAGCAUCUGGCAUCUGUUCUCUGGACCGGGGUUGCGGACUGGUAAAAUGAUUCACGGAAUCUAACAGAAUGAGCGGAUGGAAAGCCGAGACCACAGAGGGUAAAAGUCCCGUAUGUGAAAGAGGAAGUGACAGACCAGUAUCCAGAGUACCACGAGGCACGUGAAACCUUGUGGGAAGCAGGGGGGACCACCCUCCAAGCCUAAAUACUACCUGGUGACCGAUAGUGAAGCAGUACCGUGAGGGAAAGGUGAAAAGAACCCCGGGAGGGGAGUGAAAGAGAACCUGAAACCCUGUGUUUACAAGCAGUCGAAGAGCGUUAAGGCUCGACGGCGUACUUUUUGUAGAACGGUCCGGCGAGUUAUGGUGUAUGGCAAGGUUAAGUGCAUAAUGCACGGAGCCGCAGGGAGACCGAGUCUUAAUAGGGCGAAAAGUCAUACGCUAUAGACCCGAAACCGGGUGACCUACCCAUGAACAGGUUGAAACGGGAGUAAAAUCCCGCGGAGGACCGAACCCACUCCCGUUGAAAAGGUAGGGGAUGAGUUGUGGGUAGCGGAGAAAUUCCAAUCGAACUCGGAGAUAGCUGGUUCUCCCCGAAAUAGCUUUAGGGCUAGCCUCAGGUUAGUCUAGCGGAGGUAAAGCACUGAAUGGACAAGGGGCCUUACCGGGUUACCAAAUCCUAUCAAACUAAGAAUGCCGCAAAGAUGAUGCCUGGGAGUCAGACUACGUGAGAUAAGUCUCGUGGUCGAAAGGGAAACAGCCCAGACCGCCAACCAAGGUCCCAAAAUCACAGCUAAGUGGAAAAGGAUGUGGGCUUGCUAAGACAACUAGGAUGUUGGCUUAGAAGCAGCCACUCAUUCAAAGAGUGCGUAAUAGCUCACUAGUCGAGUGAGCCUGCGCCGAAAAUUACCGGGGCUAAGCUGUGUACCGAAGUUGCGGAUUUUAGAGAACGGAGAACAGAGGGUCAGAAAACAAAAAACCAGAAAACAGAGAAAAGAAAACAGAAAACAGAAAAAAGUGAGUCUUUGUUUGAAUGAGGGCUCAAAACAAGAUUCCGAUUUCUGAAUAUCUAUUCUUCUGUUAUCUGGGAGUACAAGUAAUACUUGAGUAUCUAUAUGAUUUGGAGUAUAUGGAAAAGGAAAUAUAUGAACAAUACUCUGAUGAAUAUAAACAGAUAGGAAAGAUGCUUGUGACGAUGAUACAAGAAUGGAAGUAAAACUGUUUUCUGGAAAUCUGUUCUCUGUUCUCUAGAGUGGUAGGGGAGCUUAGUAUAUGGGUUGAAGCAUGACCGAAAGGACAUGUGGACUGUAUAGUAGUGAGAAUGCCGGAAUGAGUAGCGAAAGUGAAGUGAGAAUCUUUACCGCCGAAUACCCAAGGUUUCCUGGGGAAGGCUCGUCCUCCCAGGGUUAGUCGGGACCUAAGCUGAGGCCGAAAGGCGUAGGCGAUGGACAACAGGUUGAUAUUCCUGUACCACCGUUAUUCGUUUGAGAGACGAGGGGACGCAGGGAGAUAGAGUGAGCGAGCAGCAGGAAAAGCUCGUCCAAGAGGAAUAGAGAGUUUCGCAGGCAAAUCCGCGAGAUGAUUCGAAGCCUUGAUGGGGAGGGAAAAUAAGUACCGAAGCACUUGAUUCUGCACUGACGAGAAAAGCCUCUAUCGAGAAUAAAGGUGCCCGUACCGUAAACCGACACAGGUGGGUGAGGAGAGAAUCCUAAGGCGAGCGGGAGAAGCGUUGUUAAGGAACUCGGCAAAUUGACCCCGUAAGUUCGCGAGAAGGGGUGCCGGGGCUAGAGAGCAGAGAACAGAGAGUCAGAGAACAGAAAGGAAAGAAUCUGUUUGAGAGAUCUGUUUUCUGGAGAUCUGUUCUCUGUUUUCUGGAACCGGCCGCAGAGAAAUGGCCCAAGCAACUGUUUAUCAAAAACACAGGUCUCUGCUAAAUCGAAAGAUGAAGUAUAGGGGCUGACGCCUGCCCGGUGCUGGAAGGUUACGGGGAUCUGUUAGCGCAAGCGAAGCAGUGAACUUAAGCCCCAGUAAACGGCGGCCGUAACUAUAACGGUCCUAAGGUAGCGAAAUUCCUUGUCGGGUAAGUUCCGACCCGCACGAAUGGCGUAAUGACUUGGGCACUGUCUCAACAACGUACCCGGUGAAAUUGUAGUACUUGUGAAGAUGCAAGUUACCCGCGACAAGACAGAAAGACCCCAUGGAGCUUUACUGUAGCCUGAUACUGGGUUUCGGUAUUCUUUGUACAGGAUAGGUGGGAGGCUUAGAAGCCUGUGCGCCAGCAUAGGUGGAGCCAACGUUGGGAUACCACUCUAAGAGUACUGGAACUCUAACCAGGUACCAUGAACUGGUACUGGGACAAUGUCAGGUGGGCAGUUUGACUGGGGCGGUCGCCUCCCAAAAGGUAACGGAGGCGUCCAAAGGUUACCUCAGUGCGGUUGGAAAUCGCACAAAGAGUGUAAAGGCAGAAGGUAGCCUGACUGCGAGACCCACAAGUCGAGCAGGUACGAAAGUAGGGCUUAGUGAUCCGGCGGUAUGAAAGUGGAAUUGCCGUCGCUCAACGGAUAAAAGCUACCCUGGGGAUAACAGGCUUAUCUCCCCCAAGAGU